rnacentral:rRNA from 1 species
AUUGAACGCUGGCGGCAUGCUUUACACAUGCAAGUCGAACGGUAACAGGGUGCUUGCACCGCUGACGAGUGGCGAACGGGUGAGUAAUGCGUCGGAACGUGCCGAGUAGUGGGGGAUAACGCAUCGAAAGGUGUGCUAAUACCGCAUACGUACUGAGGUAGAAAGUGGGGGACCUUCGGGCCUCACGCUAUUCGAGCGGCCGACGUCUGAUUAGCUAGUUGGUGAGGUAAAGGCUCACCAAGGCGACGAUCAGUAGCGGGUCUGAGAGGAUGGUCGGCCACACUGGGACUGAGACACGGCCCAGACUCCUGCGGGAGGCAGCAGUGGGGAAUUUUGGACAAUGGGCGCAAGCCUGAUCCAGCCAUGCCGCGUGUCUGAAGAAGGCCUUCGGGUUGUAAAGGACUUUUGUCCGGGAGCAAAUACCCAGUGCUAAUAACGCUGGGGGCUGAGAGUACCGGAAGAAUAAGCACCGGCUAACUACGUGCCAGCAGCCGCCGUAA